rnacentral:rRNA from 1 species
UUUCAGCAGCCGCGGUAAUACAUAGGGUGCAAGCGUUGUCCGGAUUUAUUGGGCGUAAAGAAACUCGUAGGUGGUUUGUUACGUCGGAUGUGAAAACUCUGGGGCUCAACCCCAGACCUGCAAUCCGAAUACGGGGCAGACUAGAGUGUGGUAGGGGAAGACUGGAAUUCCUGGUGUAGCGGUGGGAAUGCGCAGAUAUCAAGGAGGAACACCAAUGGCGAAGGCAGGUCUCUGGGCCAUUACUGACACUGAGGAGUGAAAGUGUGGGGAGCGAACAGGAUUAGAUACCCUGGUAGUCCACACCGUAAACGAUGGACGCUAGUUGUGGGGACCUUCCACGGUUUCUGCGACGCAGCUAACGCAUUAAGCGUCCCGCCUGGGGAGUACGAUCGCAAGAUUAAAACUCAAAGGAAUUGACUGGGCCCCGCACAAGCAGCGGAGCAUGCGGCUUAAUUCGACGCAACGCGAAGAACCUUACCAAGGCUUGACAUAUAGGGAAAAGCAGCAGAGAUGUUGUGUCCGCAAGGGCCCUAUACAGGUGGUGCAUGGUUGUCGUCAGCUCGUGUCGUGAGAUGUUGGGUUAAGUCCCGCAACAAGCGCAACCCUCAUUCUGUGUUGCCAGCAUUUAGUUGGGGACUCACAGGAGACUGCCGUGGUUAACACGGAGGAAGGUGGGGAUGACGUCAAAUCAUCAUGCCCCUUAUGUCUUGGGCUGCACGCAUGCUACAAUGGCUGGUACAAACGGCUGCAAUACCGCAAGGUUGAGCGAAUCCGAAAAAGCCAGUCUCAGUUCGGAUUGGGGUCUGCAACUCGACCCCAUGAAGUCGGAGUUGCUAGUAAUCGUAGAUCAGCAACGCUACGGUGAAUACGUUCCCGGGGCUUGUACACACCGCCCGUCAAAC